rnacentral:rRNA from 1 species
CCUACGGGUGGCAGCAGUGAGGAAUAUUGGUCAAUGGACGAGAGUCUGAACCAGCCAAGGAGCGUGAAGGAUGACUGCCCUAUGGGUGGUAAACUUCUUUUAUAUGGGAAUAAAAUGUUCCACGUGUGGGAUUUUGUAUGUACCAUAUGAAUAAGGAUCGGCUAACUCCGUGCCAGCAGCCGCGGUAAUACGGAGGAACCGAGCGUUAUCCGGAUUGAUUGGGUUUAAAGGGAGCGUAGGUGGAAUUUUAAGUCAGUUGUGAAAGUUUGCGGCUCAACCGUAAAAUUGCAGUUGAAACUGGCAGUCUUGAGUACAGUAGAGGUGGGCGGAAUUCGUGGUGUAGCGGUGAAAUGCUUAGAUAUCACGAAGAACUCCGAUUGCGAAGGCAGCUCACUGGACUGCAACUGACACUGAGGCUCGAAAGUGUGGGUAUCAAACAGGAUUAGAUACCCGUGUAGUC